rnacentral:antisense_RNA from 1 species
CUUGAUCGAACCCAGCCGCAGUGGCCGCUCCUCGGGCCUCUCCUGCCCGUACGUGGCGAGCAGUGCCUGCGCCUC